GCGCCAACGCCUGGGCGGCUCGUGGACGCACCUGAACAGCACGCCCGGGAUGGGGAAGUCGGGGAAGCUGCGGAUGCGCCGCGCCACCAGCUGCAACUCGGGUUCCGCCAUGGCCGCGUGCGUGAGAGGAAGGGCGGAGCUGCUGUUGUCUGAGCGCCUCGCCCUCAGGGCACUGGCAAGGAAGUCAGCCUGCUGCAUAUCAUUACGCAUGAUCUUCCUCACAGAGCUGCACUCCAGCCUGGCUCAGGAUGCACACGUGGAUGGGGACAGACAGGCUGCUAGAGAUCAAGUGAUUUUGGAGAGGUGGUGAGGGGCACGACCCUCGGUUGACUCACUCUCCUGGGAGGUGCAAGUUUGCCUGUAGCAGCUGAGGACUCCAUUUUAGGUCUGAAGCUAGUCCAGUGAGCAAUCUGAGGCUGUGAAGACAGCACCAGGAAUUCCAGGAAUGACGGCACAAGACCUGGAUGGUCUCUCACACCUUCCAAAGCGCACAUCAGCAGGGGCAGAGUGUGGCCUUUUGCCUUUAAAAACAGCCCUCCCCCUUUAGCUGGGCCUGAGUUCUAAAUCAGACCAUGGGAACUGAGGACAGCUGCAGCUUAAAUAAAAAAUUCUGUUAAUGACAACUCGA